rnacentral:rRNA from 5 species
AAACGACUCUCGGCAACGGAUAUCUCGGCUCACGCAUCGAUGAAGAACGUAGCAAAAUGCGAUACUUGGUGUGAAUUGCAGAAUCCCGUGAACCAUCGAGUUUUUGAACGCAAGUUGCGCCCGAAGCCAUCCGGCUGAGGGCACGUCUGCCUGGGCGUCACGCA